GUAAAACUAGCAUCACCAGUUGGGGCCAUUGGUUCAUGUGGGACCAAACGUCUUAGAUUGGCCCAGACACGAACCAUAUUAAAUCAACCCGCUCGAGAUGUUUUUGGGCAUAUUUUUCUCUAAACAUCGGUUUCUGCAGAGUAAUUCGACAUUUCAAAUUAUUUACGUUUAUGUGGCUAUGAACAGAUCCGCACAAUAUACUCUAACUAACAACUCUUGCUGCUUCUACGGACAACAUCGAUUGAACGGGGUUUGGAAAUCAUCACAUUGACAUUUUUCACCUGUUUGAAACGAUUCAUCGACUUCCUCAUUAACUGAAAAAUUAUUGAGAUUCAUAUUAUCAUUCAACUUUAUUGAACACUAACAAUCAUGACCACACUCUUCUGAUACCUACUUUCACACAGGUCGUUUGAUGAUUCUGAUUUUGUUAGUGUUCGAAAUAAUUUCCAUCCAAAGAUAAUUUUUCAGCGGUACGAAGUUCGCCUGGACAGCUGUAGGUACAGAAAUAAGGGAAACAAGUGCAGAACGCACAGGAACAAUUGUUGAAGGUACAUGAACAGGUAGAAAACUAUCACCCAGUGUUUUAUUAGCGCUUCUGACCCGAACCGAGGAGGGGAAAGAAAUUACAAUAUGUGCUAAGGACGGAGAACUUUCAGUUGCAACUAGCUGGUGUGUUAUAACCAAUCUUUUUCCACACGAAAAGGCAGUAAAUUAUUACAUUCCUAGAACUGGGGACCGAAAAAACUUCGGUGGCAAAGUUGCAAAUAAGAUAGGAAAUUUGAAGCAAAAAAAGCGGAAAUCUGAUGCAAAAGAGGAAGAACACAGAAAAAAGAUAAAGUGCCAAAAACCGAUUGAUACGUUGACAGAUCCAGAAGCGCAAGUAGUAACUGAAUGGCUAAAAUUAAAUUCAGAGCCAUGGAGUAUGGUACUGGAAAUGUGGCCCAAAGCGUUUGUUUUUUCGUAAACAAUACCUCCGAAACAAAAAAGCAGAUGAGGCAACUUUUUUCAUCGUUCGAGCUCUAUAAAUUGCGACCGGGAUAUCAAUUAUUCGAUAUUGAUUUUCAUCUUACUAACAUCGGUACACUAAGUGGAUUGGAAAGGCUGGUAAGUUUGAGAGCGGAAUUGAUUACCUAUGUAACGAAACAUGUUCGGGAUCCAUCGGCAGACAGUUUGAUUUCCGUUUCGAUUGAUAGUUCCUCAUCUGAAGGUAAUGUAUAACAGUACAAUUGAUAUCAUAACACUAGCGUUAUACUACGUGGUGUAAACAUAUGACAGAUAUGCUUUAUGUUGUUAUUGUUAAGGUCAAAGGAAAUUAAACUGGAUUAUUGAUAUUAA